UGAGGUGGCAUGGAGUUUUUUUCUGAGCGUGAAUCAGAUUUUAGUUCAUGAUAUUUUUGUGGGCUUUUAUCAUGGAUGAACAUUUCUGUUUCUUAGAACGUAUGAAAGGAAGAGUACAUGAUCAGA
ensembl:snoRNA U3 Small nucleolar RNA U3